AUGCACGCUGGCGGCGUGCCUAAUACAUGCAGGUCGAGCGAACGGACGAGAAGCUUGCUUCUCUGAUGUUAGCGGCGGACGGGUGAGUAACACGUGGAUAACCUACCUAUAAGACUGGGAUAACUUCGGGAAACCGGAGCUAAUACCGGAUAAUAUUUUGAACCGCAUGGUUCAAAAGUGAAAGACGGUCUUGCUGUCACUUAUAGAUGGAUCCGCGCUGCAUUAGCUAGUUGGUAAGGUAACGGCUUACCAAGGCAACGAUGCAUAGCCGACCUGAGAGGGUGAUCGGCCACACUGGAACUGAGACACGGUCCAGACUCCUACGGGAGGCAGCAGUAGGGAAUCUUCCGCAAUGGGCGAAAGCCUGACGGAGCAACGCCGCGUGAGUGACGAAGGUCUUCGGAUCGUAAAACUCUGUUAUUAGGGAAGAACAUAUGUGUAAGUAACUGUGCACAUCUUGACGGUACCUAAUCAGAAAGCCACGGCUAACUACGUG
rnacentral:rRNA from 1 species